GACGAGACGAGCGGAGAUUUCCUUCAACAUCAGAAACCUGUGUACUACAGAUUAAUUUCACCUUCGAUCUUUCUUUUUGAGGUUUAGUUCGAUUUUAAUUUCUCUCUUACGCUUUUUAGGUUUUCGAUUUCUGCUUUGAGCAGAGACACGAACAGAGAUAAAGAGAGGCUGAGUUUUGAGCGGAGAAUUGAGAGACCGAAUCAGUCUCAAACUGAAAUGGAAUUUUCAUUACUUUCUCUCAUGAGGUUCAUCCAUGGCCUUGAUUGGUAGUACUAGAGAAGAAUCAAUUGGCAGCAGCGAAGCUAGGUUCUAAAACAGAUGUGAGUUCAGUGCUCGUGCCCUGUGGAGUUCAUCUGAUUCAAGCAUGGGUAAAUGGAAUUUUUCAAUUGAGAAAUAGAUACAACAAUACAUCAAUGAAAUUGGAGGUUAAAUCAAGAAGCUGGUGGUGUUGAAUUUGUGCCUUAUGACAUACAUUGAAUCUGGGGUUUGGCAUGGAUCUCGUUCUCUCAAAUUGGUAGUGGAGGUACAGUGGCUCGAGAUUUCAGUCUUGAGUGCUUUGAGAUGGUGAUGGCAAUUACUUGGUGGAACUGGAAUUUAAUGAAGGCGGUGGUGCUCAUGUUUGUUUUAAAGCUUUUCAGUUGAGUCAUAAUUGUGCUGUGAAGAUAGAUGUUUAAACAAGGGUGGUUUCAUUUUCAUCCUAAGAUUUCCAAGGAUAUUGUGUUAGGUGGUGGUGGGAAAGAAUCAUCAGAAACACUACCCUUCUCCACCAAAAUCUAUACAGACACAUGGCCGGAGUUUCAGUGAUUUUUGUGCGAGUCUUCGGAAAAAUAAUAGUGUUGAUGAUGUACAGGUUACUGGAGGAAAGAAACCAACUCCCAGUGGGUAUUAUACCAUACCCAGAAGUAUCAUUACCUUCUUGGUUGGGAGAUCAUUUUAAAUCGGAAAUUGUCUGGCCGUUUCUUUUUUCUUUUCUUUUUCUUUUGUUGUCUAGUUUGCUUGCCAAUUAUAAUGAAAAAUGAUUGCAAUAACUUGUCAUGCACCUACAAAAUGUGUGCAUAACUUGUUAUGCAGUCGAGAAAUUGGAUGCA